rnacentral:rRNA from 1 species
UACGAAGGGGGCUAGCGUUGUUCGGAAUUACUGGGCGUAAAGGGCGCGUAGGCGGCUGUGCAAGUCAGGUGUGAAAGCCCUGGGCUCAACCCAGGAUGUGCACUUGAUACUGCGCGGCUAGAGUGUCGGAGAGGAUGGUGGAAUUCCCAGUGUAGAGGUGAAAUUCGUAGAUAUUGGGAAGAACACCGGUGGCGAAGGCAGCUCUCUGGGACGGUACUGACGCUGAGACGCGAAAGCGUGGGGAGCGAACAGG